rnacentral:miRNA from 1 species
ACCUUAGAGAUCAACAAUUGGUAUGAGCUUUCGUGUGCAUGCACACUUCUUCAGAUACCCUUCAGAUACCUCUUCAGAUAUUCAGGGUAUCUGAAGAAGUGUGCAUGCACACGAAAGCUCAUACCAAUAACAAACUUAGUUGG